AUGUCUAGUUUAGCCCCUGUCAUUAUGUUGCCUGAGGAAGUGAUCUUCACUUUCAAACAAGGGAGUGAGGAGAGUUUUACUGAUGCCUGGGCUAGAAUCAAGGGAUUUUAUGAUAAGACUGAACCAAAAAUGACUUUGAGCCUGCUCCUAAGUAAUUUCUAUUUUGGUCUAGUUCUUCAUUAUAGAUAUGCCUUGGAUACUGUAGUAGGAGGAGAUUUCCUUCAUUGUGAUGGAGAUCAAGCCUUUAAUGCCAUAAAAAAGUUGAUUGCAACUUAUAGCUCUCUCCUACUAAGUUUGAUUUUUCUCUUGAAGAUAUCUUCGCUAGAUUAA
rnacentral:rRNA from 1 species